CAAAUCGUCUCCCCGGCGACUUCCAGCGAUGACUGCAAAGAGGCUGCAUUGCUUCGCAUGGCCGACGCCAGGCACACGUCAACGAUUCGCUGGAAUCGUCUCGUAAUGACGACGGCGAAAACGAUGAAUUGGAGAGCGAUUUGAUCCCGAUCUGUCGGACAAAUACGUGCCUUCGGACAUAACGGAAAGCAGCUGAGAGUUCUCGCCAGAGCCGCUGGAACGAGGAGAUUGUCCGACCAGAAGCCAGAAGAUGACAACUCCUUGCUUUGGUGGUGGAAAGAAAGAUCGUGCAUCUGGACGUGGUGGGGUGAAUCGAUGUGGUGACAAACUGGAUGGAAGGCAAAAACCAUCCUCUCCACACCUGCACUUUCGUUCAUUGUUCAAUUUGCACUUUUGUUCAUAGUUCAAUAGUUUUGUUGUGUGCAAAUAAAUUAUUUUGCUACAAAAACAUUAUUUGGGAUGUUCUUUUGUAGGAGGAACACAUUAUUGAGGUAUUUGAGCUGUCACAAAAGCAAAAAAUAGUGUAAAA